AUUGAACGCUGGCGGCAUGCCUUACACAUGCCAGUCGAACGGUAACGGGCCUUCGGGUGCCGACGAGUGGCGAACGGGUGAGUAAUACAUCGGAACGUGCCCGAUCGUGGGGGAUAACGAGGCGAAAGCUUUGCUAAUACCGCAUACGAUCUACGGAUGAAAGCAGGGGACCGCAAGGCCUUGCGCGGACGGAGCGGCCGAUGGCAGAUUAGGUAGUUGGUGGGAUAAAAGCUUACCAAGCCGACGAUCCGUAGCUGGUCUGAGAGGAUGACCAGCCACACUGGGACUGAGACACGGCCCAGACUCCUACGGGAGGCAGCAGUGGGGAAUUUUGGACAAUGGGCGCAAGCCUGAUCCAGCCAUGCCGCGUGCAGGAUGAAGGCCUUCGGGUUGUAAACUGCUUUUGUACGGAACGAAAAGCCUUCUUUUAAUACAGGAGGGUCAUGACGGUACCGUAAGAAUAAGCACCGGCUAACUACGUG
rnacentral:rRNA from 1 species